rnacentral:rRNA from 1 species
AACGUAGGUGGCGAACGUUAUCCGGAUUUACUGGGCGUAAAGAGUGCGCAGGCGGCCAAACAAGUCAGAUGUAAAAUCUCCUGGCUCAACUGGGAGGGACCAUCUGAUACUGUUUGGCUAGAGUACAGCAGAGGAAAGUGGAAUUCCCGGUGUAGUGGUGGAAUGCGUAGAUAUCGGGAGGAACACCUGUGGCGAAAGCGGCUUUCUGGGCUGUUACUGACGCUGUUGCACGAAAGCGUGGGGAG